rnacentral:rRNA from 1 species
AUUGAACGCUGGCGGCAGGCUUAACACAUGCAAGUCGAGCGGAGAUGAGGUGCUUGCACCUUAUCUUAGCGGCGGACGGGUGAGUAAUGCUUAGGAAUCUGCCUAUUAGUGGGGGACAACAUUCCGAAAGGAGUGCUAAUACCACAUACGUCCUACGGGAGAAAGCAGGGGAUCUUCGGACCUUGCGCUAAUAGAUGAGCCUAAGUCGGAUUAGCUAGUUGGUGGGGUAAAGGCCUACCAAGGCGACGAUCUGUAGCGGGUCUGAGAGGAUGAUCCGCCACACGGGGACUGAGACACGGCCCAGACUCCUACGGGAGGCAGCAGUGGGGAAUAUUGGACAAUGGGGGGAACCCUGAUCCAGCCAUGCCGCGUGUGUGAAGAAGGCCUUAUGGUUGUAAAGCACUUUAAGCGAGGAGGAGGCUACUGAGACUAAUACUCUUGGAUAGUGGACGUUACUCGCAGAAUAAGCACCGGCUAACUCUGUGCCAGCCGCCGCCGUAA